AUGCAGGUUUGUGGCGUUCAGUUGAGCUCAGCAACAUCUCGCUGCCGAGAAUCAUGGUCGCCAUUUGGGAGUCAAAGACCGUUAUGUAGAGUACAAUGCUGUCAGGUGCCACCUUCUACUAGAAAUGUAGCUCAUCUUCAGAAGUAGGACAAAUAUUCUUGUGUUGAUAGGUCAACUUCUUAUCUGCACGUGCAAACUCUUAGGAAUUUCCCAAUUGAAAAACUUUAUGGAGAGGUGGUCCUGUUGUGACUUGAUUCUGUUCUUCUUUUGGAUCCUCUAGGAUUAUUUAGUUGCUCACUGAAAAGGACACUGUCAACUAUCAAAUACCUGUACAAAGCAGGAGGGAAAGUUCUUCUAGUUACCAGUCCCCCAGUUUGUUAAUCCAGUGUUCAAAAAAUAAUCUGUCAUAAAUGCUGAUAGUCAGACUAUAUGUCAGCGCUUCUUCAAGUAAAGGUCAUCCCGGUGGAUGGUGUCCCUUGUUUAACAUCAUGUAAGAAGGAAGAAUGGGUGCAGAAUGAUAUUAUCUUGUUUGAAAAUCUUUUGAACUUCAGGGGAGAAAAUGCAAACUGCAAUAAUUUUUCUCAGAAGCUAGCGUCAGGUGCAGCAAUCUUUGUCAAUGAUUCUUUCUCAUUGUCUCAUAAGAUUCACGCAUCAACGGUUGGCAUCACUCGUUUCUGCUAUGCAUCUCUUGCUGGUUUCCAUUUUGAGGAGGAGCUUAUGCAAUCGCUAAAGAUCAAUGACACCACAAGGCCAUACAUAGCAAUAAUUGGAGGCAGUAACUUCUUGAGAAAGGCACCUGCACCGCAUCUGUUAGCCCAACGCGAUGGGUUGUUUCUUGUUGGAAAGUUAUCAUUUCAAAUAAUGAAUGGCCUUGGAAUUCCAGUGUCCUCCUGUUUGCUAGAAAAAAAUGCAACCAAGGAAGUGUUACAACUUAUUAAAAUAGCCCAUAAUAGGAACAUUCCUAUUUAUUAUCCAACAGACCUGUGGUGUUUGAACAGCAACAAUAAUGAACAACUCGAAAUAUUUGACUCAGCUGAACUAUUGUCUGGCUUAAUUUCUUUGGGCUGGACAUCAGUUGAUAUAGGGCCAUCAACAUUGGAGAUAAUUUUUUCUUUACUGUCAUCAUACAAGGAAGAUCCUUGGAUCGGUCCUACAAGCUUUGACUUGACAGAAGAAUUUUCUGUCGGGGCAACACAGUUGGGUCAGAUACUGAACAAAGCAAGUCAUAAUAGCUGUGAUGUUAUUUUAGUAGGGGCAGCAUGCAAGGCAGUAAAAGGAAUAUCAGAUUCUUCAUCACUAUAUACAUCAUUUGAAAAUGAAUCUAUUGUAUGGGAAUUUCUCGGAAGAAUAUUGCCUGGUAUUGUAGCAUUGGAUAAAAGCUAUCCCUAUCAGAGUCCAUGGGAUGACGUCUUCUCAGACACCAAACAGCCACUGCUUGUUGAUAUAGGAAGUGGAAAUGGUUUGCUUCUAUUCCAAAUGGCUAGAAACUGGGAAGGCUCGAAUUUUCUUGGUCUUGAGAUCAAUGAAAAGGUAAAAACUGCCUGUAUCCUGUAUUGGAUUUAG
rnacentral:rRNA from 1 species